CAAAACAUGGAAGUCGUCAAAAUCUGGUUAGCUCUGACGACAUGUUUAUUAUUGCUCGUCUAUUCUGAAGCUGCCGCUUGUGACAAGAAAGAACUUGUGGUUGGAGGCAAUGAAACUUCAUGGACCAUUCCACCAUCCAAUAAUUCUUUCAGUGAAUGGGCAGACACAAUUGACGAGUUCAUAAUGCUCGAUACUCUCGUUUUCAGAUACGAUAACAAGACUGAUUCAAUACUUGAAGUAAGCGAGUUGGACUACGAAACCUGUGAAAAAUCUAGACCCAUAAAAGAAUACAGAGAUGGUACACCGCCAUUGAAUUAGAGAGCUUGGGAAAUUUCUUCUUCAUAAGUGGAGCUCAAGGACACUGUCAGAAAGGACAGAAAGUAAAAAUAAGAGUCGUACCUCACUUGUAUUGUUACUGGAGGUACAGAUGGCUCCACAAGUAUUAUUAGAGAUUUAUAUUAAAGAUUUGUCAUAAACCUAAUUUUUUAUAUUAUAUAUUUAUCAUAUUUUAGUA